UACGAAGGGGGCUAGCGUUGCUCGGAAUGACUGGGCGUAAAGGGCACGUAGGCGGUGAAUCGGGUUGAAAGUGAAAGUCGCCAAAAAGUGGCGGAAUGCUCUCGAAACCAAUUCACUUGAGUGAGACAGAGGAGAGUGGAAUUUCGUGUGUAGGGGUGAAAUGCGCAGAUAUCAGGAGGAACACCGGUGGCGAAGGCGGGUCUCUGGGCCGAUACUGACGCUCAUGCACGAAAGCGUGGGGAGCAAACAGG
rnacentral:rRNA from 1 species